GUUGUGGCUCAGUGGUAAGAGCACUUGCCUAGCAUAUGUGAGGCCUUGGGUUUGAUUCUCAGCAUUACA
rnacentral:tRNA from 1 species